AUCAAAGGAGUAAUCGUCGUAGAUCGUGCGUUAUCGAUAAUGUUCGGAGCCUGGAGAAAAUUGACAAUUGACAAGAGAAUUGCUUAUUAUUUUUGACUUUUUAGUUCGUUUAAUUUAAAAAUUACUAAAACCAGUAGUUCGAAAGAUAUAUUUAAAAAUAAAAGAUAAAAAUCCAAAAAAUUAAUUAUCUAUUAACGUGGAUUUGGACGACAAUAGGUUUUUAGUUUGUGAUGUUUCAUGUGAUGAUCAUCAUGUUCAUCGUCUUUGAAUUGACAUGAGGAUAUCUAUGGAAAAGUAACUAAUCUGAAAGUAAGCCAACAUAUCGUUUGUCCAUUGUGUGCUAACGAAAAGAUUUUCUUUUCGCAUCAUGAGGAAGUAUUACAUCAAUUGAAAAUUUUAGGAAGUUGAUCAUUUGUCAUGGAAAAGUAUACCAAUGGAAUUAUUUGUUAAAGAAGUAUAAUUCUAAGGGUUUUAAGAAUAAAUUGGUUGAACCCAAAAUCUGGAGGAAGUACCUAUAUCCAUACACAGAAUAUGCCCAUUAAAAAUACUAGUCCAAAUUUGCUUUAAUGGUAGACAAUUAUUCAAUACAAAUUAACUUUUUAAGUGACUGAAAUAUUAAAUAGUUUAGAAUAUGGUAUAACAAUGUAAAAAAAUAUUAUUUUCAGGAACGAUUAGGGCCCGAUAUAUUUGAAACUCAUGUUGGACAUAGUAUUGAGUUGGGUAGAAUAUUAUUCUACGUUAAGUGAGGGUAUCAGAUACCUAUUAUUGUACUGUAUUUUAAUAUAUACAUUAGAAUUGUUGGUUUUUU
rnacentral:lncRNA from 1 species